rnacentral:misc_RNA from 1 species
GGACAGCAACAAGGUUGUUGUUUUGUUAAAUAUGCAACUUCUGAAGAAGCUGAUAGGGCCAUCAGAGCUUUGCACAAUCAGCAUACUCUACCUGGAGGAGUAGGUCCUAUCCAAGUAAGAUAUGCUGAUGGGGAGCGAGAACGCCUUGGUGCAGUUGAGUACAAAUUAUUUGUUGGGUCACUGGACAAACAGGCUACAGAAAAGGAAGUUGAGGAAAUAUUUUCACCAUAUGGCCAUGUUGAAGAUGUUUAUCUCAUGCGUGAUGAAAUGAAGCAAAGCCGUGGAUGUGGAUUUGUUAAAUACUCUCAUAGAGAAAUGGCACUGGCAGCUAUAAAUGCUCUCAAUGGAAUUUACAGAAUGAGAGGUUGUGAUCAACCAUUGACUGUUCGGUUUGCUGAUCCUAAGAGGCCUAGGCCUGGAGAUUCAAGGGGUAGUCCUGCAUUUGGAGGUCCAGGCUUUGGCCCCCGAUUUCAAGCUCCAGGGCCCAGACCGGUGCCCAAUUUUGGUGACCCAAUGGGUGAUAGAGGUCCACCUAAUGCUUGGCAUCCAAUGAGUACACAGAAUAUGGGGCCUUCCUCCGAUGCUGGUGCACGUGGUUUUGGGAGUCGGUUGCCUCCUAGAUCUGGUGACCUACCUUUAAAUCAGGCUGGUCCCGUGGGUGGCCCUUCCGAUGGUGCUCCUCCAGGACAUGUUUCUUCUACUGCACAAAAUUUUAACCAGCAUUU